rnacentral:rRNA from 1 species
UACGAGGGGUGCAAGCGUUGUCCGGAAUUAUUGGGCGUAAAGAGCGUGUAGGCGGCCAUGCAGGUCCGUUGUGAAAACUCGAGGCUCAACCUCGAGACGCCGAUGGAAACCGCAUGGCUAGAGUCCGGAAGAGGAGAGUGGAAUUCCUGGUGUAGCGGUGAAAUGCGCAGAUAUCAGGAAGAACACCCGUGGCUAAGGCGGCUCUCUAGUACGGUACUGACGCUGAGACGCGAAAGCGUGGGGAGCGAACAGG